ACUCCUACGGGAGGCAGCAGUGGGGAAUUUUGGACAAUGGGCGAAAGCCUGAUCCAGCCAUGCCGCGUGCAGGAUGAAGGCCUUCGGGUUGUAAACUGCUUUUGUACGGAACGAAACGGCCUUUUCUAAUAAAGAGGGCUAAUGACGGUACCGUAAGAAUAAGCACCGGCUAACUACGUGCCAGCAGCCGCGGUAAUACGUAGGGUGCAAGCGUUAAUCGGAAUUACUGGGCGUAAAGCGUGCGCAGGCGGUUAUGUAAGACAGUUGUGAAAUCCCCGGGCUCAACCUGGGAACUGCAUCUGUGACUGCAUAGCUAGAGUACGGUAGAGGGGGAUGGAAUUCCGCGUGUAGCAGUGAAAUGCGUAGAUAUGCGGAGGAACACCGAUGGCGAAGGCAAUCCCCUGGACCUGUACUGACGCUCAUGCACGAAAGCGUGGGGAGCAAACAGGAUUAGAAACCCUUGUAGUCCCAUGAU
rnacentral:rRNA from 1 species